UACGUAGGGACCAAGCGUUGUUCGGAUUUACUGGGCGUAAAGGGCGCGUAGGCGGCAAUUCAAGUCAGUUGUGAAAUCUCCGAGCUUAACUCGGAACGGUCAACUGAUACUGUUUUGCUAGAGUACAGAAGGGGCAAUCGGAAUUCUUGGUGUAGCGGUGAAAUGCGUAGAUAUCAAGAGGAACACCUAAGGUGAAGACGGGUUGCUGGGCUGAUACUGACGCUGAGGCGCGAAAGCUAGGGUAGCAAACGGG
rnacentral:rRNA from 1 species